CCUACGGGAGGCAGCAGUGGGGAAUAUUGGGCAAUGGAGGAAACUCUGACCCAGCGACGCCGCGUGCGGGAUGAAGGCCUUCGGGUUGUAAACCGCUUUCAGUAGGGAAGAAGCGAAAGUGACGGUACCUACAGAAGAAGCACCGGCUAACUAUGUGCCAGCAGCCGCGGUAAUACAUAGGGUGCAAGCGUUGUCCGGAAUUAUUGGGCGUAAAGAGCUCGUAGGUGGUUCGUCACGUCGGAUGUGAAAAUCUGGGGCUCAACCCCAGACCUGCAUUCGAUACGGGCGAUCUAGAGUGUGGUAGGGGAGACUGGAAUUCCUGGUGUAGCGGUGGAAUGCGCAGAUAUCAGGAGGAACACCAAUGGCGAAGGCAGGUCUCUGGGCCAUUACUGACACUGAGGAGCGAAAGCGUGGGGAGCGAACAGGAUUAGAUACCCUGGUAGUCCACGCCGUAAACGGUGGGCACUAGUUGUGGGAACCUUCACGGUUUCUGCGACGCAGCUACGCAUAGUGCCCGCCGUCGGGAGGUACGANCGCGAAGAAUUAAACUACAAUAGAAGUUAGACGGCGUGAGACGUGCCGAACGGACGACGACGAGGGAGGUAGG
rnacentral:rRNA from 1 species